rnacentral:rRNA from 1 species
GACGAACGCUGGCGGCGUGCCUAAUACAUGCAAGUCGAGCGAAGUUUUUCUGGUGCUUGCACUAGAAAAACUUAGCGGCGAACGGGUGAGUAACACGUAAAGAACCUGCCUCAUAGACUGGGACAACUAUUGGAAACGAUAGCUAAUACCGGAUAACAGUAUUUCUCGCAUGAGAGAUAUUUAAAAGUUGGUUAUGCUAACACUAUGAGAUGGCUUUGCGGUGCAUUAGCUAGUUGGUGGGGUAAAGGCCCACCAAGGCGACGAUGCAUAGCCGACCUGAGAGGGUGAUCGGCCACACUGGGACUGAGACACGGCCCAGACUCCUACGGGAGGCAGCAGUAGGGAAUCUUCCGCAAUGGGCGAAAGCCUGACGGAGCAACGCCGCGUGAGUGAAGAAGGAUUUCGGUUCGUAAAGCUCUGUAGUUAGGGAAGAAUGGAUAUGUAGUAACUAUACAUGUAAGAGACGGUACCUAACCAGAAAGCCACGGCUAACUACGUG